rnacentral:rRNA from 1 species
UACCCGGGAUAACAACAGAUGAUGCCUAUCAACUUGUUUAAAAGAUGGGUUCUGCUAUCACUCGUUGGGAUGGGACCCUGCGGUGCAUUAGCUAGUUGGUAGGGGUAACGGGCCUACCGAAGGCGAUGAUGCAUAGCCCGAGUUGAGAGACUGAUCGGGCCACAGUUGGGGACUGAGACACGGGCCCAAAACUCCUACGGGGAGGCAGCAGUAGGGAAUCUUCCACAAUGGACGCAAGUCUGAUGGAGCAACGCCGCGUGAGUGAAGUAAGGGUUUCGGCUACGUAAAAGCUCUGUUGUUGGUGAAGAAGGACAGGGGUAGUAACUGACCUUUGUUUGACGGUAAUCAAUUAGAAGUCACGGCUAACUACGUGCCAGCAGCCGCGGUAAU